CAUGACUUUGAUCUGCAUCCUCAUCUGGACUCUCCUCUGCUGCUGCUUCACAGAGUCCAGAGGACAGGCCACAGUAACUCAGUCUGCAGCAGUGACAGCUGAUCUGGGAGGAACCGUCACCAUCAGAUGUAAAACCAGUCAGAAUAUUUAUAGCAACCAUUUAUCCUGGUACCAACAGAAAGACGGACAAACUCCUAAACUCCUCAUAUACUAUACAAGCAGCAGAGCAUCAGGGAUUCCAGGUCGUUUUACAGGCAGUGGAUCAAACUCUGACUUCACUCUGACCAUCAGUGGAGUUCAGGCUGAAGAUGCUGCAGUUUAUUACUGUACGGGGCAAUUCUACAUCAACAGUCAAUAUCCAUUCACACAGUGAAAAACAGUCGUACAAAAACCUCCCUCAGAAACAGAAAGUGAACUGACUGCUGCAGAGACUCAUACA